rnacentral:lncRNA from 1 species
GAGGGGAUGGAGGACACCAGGAGAACAAGACCUUCUACAUCAACUUGAGCACAGUUCAUAUGAACCCAGAGACUGAAAGAGCAAGCACAGGGCCUGCGAAGGUCCACUAUGAUUGAGAAACAAUUAACCAGACUGCAUGGCCUGAAUGUGCCUUUGAUGUCCUCAUUCUUCCUUUCUGAAGAGAAAGGCAUUUGUACCACAGGAACCUGACAGCAAUUGUUCUGAUUCAUGGCUUAGGAGGAGCAGCUGAUUAAUCCCUUGUCAGCAGUCUUGACCCGGUGUGGAAAAUAGAAUCUUCGAAGGCCUACUCACCAAUAUAUCAGGAGCAAGGCAGCAUGGCUUACAUCGCUCUUAAAUUCAAGGAAAGUUUAAGACAAUGCCAAGCAGCAAUCCUGAUCUCAGAAAUGCUUUAUAGGAACAUUUGGACACAGAACAGGAACAUACCAGGGAGAAGAGUUGAACAAUUGUGGCUUUCUUCCCUGGAAUAAAAAUCUUAUAUUUUCGGUCCUCCACAAAAUACUUUUUUAAAAAAUUACUAUUUUCUUUAUCAUAACUAUUGUGGUCUGUGUUUUAAUAUGAUAUAACAUGUUUUGGGAAUUUUAAAUCAUUCCAUUUCCUUCCCUCUUCAAUGAGUAUAGACACUAUGAACAUAGAACUCUAAUUUGUACAUUGUAUAAAAUAAUUGCAAAUAACUUCUAUUUCUAGAAUCAUCUUUAUGUGACACAUUCAGCUGUGAAGAAUAUGCAUACUAUAUAGUUUAAAACAGAAAUGUUUCUACUGAAAACCAUUUUAGUUCUUGAAAUGACAAAAGCCUUAAACUGAACACAUUGCUACUUUUAAUCAAGAAAAAAAUAACUUAGUAAUGUAAAAUGUGGUCUCGGAACAUAUGAUUAAAGUACAGAGAUGAAGUGGGAUAAUGUCACCCCCCUUUUUUUUCCAAAGAGGACCAUGUACAUGAAUCCAAUAUUUAUGAAUUUUAUUUACAACCACAAAGCAGACAGAAAAUCUGUCAAAUGAUGUGAAAUCCUAAAAGAUGCAGGGUGUUAAGAGAUGGUGGCCACCAAAGACAAAUCAAGUCUCAAAAUUAAAACUAUGCACAACUAAUAAGCAUAAACAUGAAAGAUGAGAGAGAGAGAGAGAGAGAGAGAGAGAGAGAGAGAGAGAGAGAGAGAGAGCAUACGAGACCCAUCUAUGAUAACCAGAGGAAGCUGAAAUGUGUUGAAACCUUUCCCUUGUAAACUGCAUAAUAGCACUUUCAAUGUUCCCUUUCUGUCAUCCUGUGUAACAAUCAAGUUCGGGUUCUGCUGCUGCAGUCAGGUGCACGGGCACGGAGCUCUUACGGUUGGCUGCAUAGAAUUCUGAGGAAAGCCACAUCUGUACCAUUUUUUUUCUCUUGGACAGUAAUAAAUAACAAUUUGUGUUCAUUUAGAUUUUUUUCCCUGAGUAUAUUUACAGCAAGUUAUUCAGUUUUUUUUUUUCUUAUCCUCUUAAAGCAUAGGUUUAAUUUUGAGUGCAUCUUUCAUUGUGAGAGUGUAAACCUUUGAUCGAGUGACAUUUGCAUUUCAUUAUAGGGAAGUGCUUUACAUUGUCUUCAUAUGCACCACCCAAUUCCAUGUAUCAUCUUGGUUUGUGCUAGUCACUGUUUAAAACACUGGCUCUUAAGUGUGGCUCUGUGGACAGAAUCUGUAUGUUCUGUGCAGUACAAAACAGAAAAGAACAAGGAAAAAUUCAAAAUGAAUAGCUCAUUUGAAAGAAAUAUAGUAAGUUUUCAUGUGAUUGUUUUCAAUAUAGUAUUCUCGGCGAAAGAAUGCAAUGUCAUCAUCUAAAACGUAACAUGUUCAGAUUGGCCGUAUCUCAUCAUUUAUUUCUUUUGUAAAAGAGCAAAUGGGAUGUAUUUUUAGGUGUUUCUUUGUGCAAGUUCCUAGCAAAUCCUGUUGGGAUAGCAUUAGAAAUAAUAAUGAAAUGAGCUGUAGGUAAUGGUAUAACUCUCGGAAAGUUUUUAAAUAUGUGGCUGUGAAAAUGUGUCCUUUGAAGGAUCAGCAAGCCUGUGGCAUUGUCUGUGAAAAUGGAAAGAAUUGAUAAGGCUUCUGUGCUUUUGAUCUUUAUCAGGUUUGCAAUGAUUCCUAUUUUAUAAGGUGACAUAUUUUUAGCCUUGUUGCAGAGAGAAAUGUUCUGUUUUCCCUCAGAAAGCUGGCAGAAAACCAUUUUCCG